GUGUAGUGGUUUUCUAGGACCUUUUCCACAAAGACACAGUCUGCACUUCGAUUACUGGCCUUCUGAGAGAGCAGAAAAACCACAGUCAUUGUACACUUCCGCCCAUAGUUCGUUGUGCCACGUGCAGGACACACACGCUUCAGCAGUGGACAAUCUCCAUUUUGUACGAGGGGUUUGAAGUGAGAGGGAAGAAUUUUCAAGAAGAGAGAAGAGGAUGGAUGGAAAAGAGGAAAAAAGAAACAGCAGUUGCUAACAAGCCCAAUGCUGCCCGGGGGCCAAGGCUGUGUCGUCAGUCCCAUGAAGAGACUUUCAGAUUUCCACCAUUUUUUUUGGCAUUAGGAUGCUAGUCGUGUCUGUCUGGAGAAGAACCUGAAUUCACAAAGGCAGCCUUUGGUCGCACUCUAACUCUGUCUUUAACUGCUCCCUGCCUCUCACUGCUUGUCUAACUGACCAGGAUAUACAGGAAAGCGAUUAGAUGUGAACAAACAUGCGCGGUGCUCUAAAGAGUUGUUCUCUUUAUCUCAAAACUAUAAUGGCACUCUGAUCCUGCCUUUUCUGUUUAUGCCAGUCUGUAAACAAAUCACCUAUGAGAUAUUUAUCUAAUCCCAACCACAGUAUAAUACCUGAUUAGAGACAAGUAUGAUUGAGGCUUUGUGACACUGCUUUUACGUUGAUUAUGUUGAUACAUGUACAGACCCACUUAAGUGAAUUAAAGGCGUGUAAUGCCUAUUUGUAUGGGUCUUUUGUCCGUUUAUGAUUCUCAAAGUAAUCGUUUUAAGUUCCAGAACCUGUAGCUCACACUCAUUUAAACACUGAUUAAAAAUGAAUACUGUGACCUAUCAAAGAUUCUUUUUGGAAAACCCAAUUUCGUAUGUGAUGAUUAAUGAAUGGGACUGUUUUAUAGUGUGGGCAUUCAUCUUCAAAGGGCUCUAAUUAAAAAGCAUUAUGAAGUCCCAGGAGCCUACUGUU